GAUGAAGAACGUAGCGAAAUGCGAUACGUAAUGUGAAUUGCAGAAUUCAGUGAAUCAUCGAAUCUUUGAACGCAUAUUGCGCUCUCUGGUAUUCCGGAGAGCAUGCUUGUUUGAGUAUCAGUAAACACCUCAACUUCCAUAUCUUUUUUGAAAUGGGAGUUGGACUUGAGUGAUCCCAACGCUUUUCCUCACCGAAAAGUGGCGGGUUACUUGAAAUGCAGGUGCAGCUGGACUUUUCUCUGAGCUAUAAGCAUAUCUAUUUAGUCUGCCUAAAAAACAGAUUAUUACCUUUGCUGCAGCUAACAUAAAGGAGAUUAGUUCUUGUGCUGACUGAUGCAGGAUUCACAAAGACGGCUUCGGCCGACUUUGUAAACUUGAUCUCAAAUCAAGUAAGACUACCCGCUGAACUUAAGCAUAUCAAUAAGCGGAGGA
rnacentral:misc_RNA from 1 species